rnacentral:rRNA from 1 species
UACGUAGGGGGCGAGCGUUGUCCGGAUUUAUUGGGCGUAAAGAGCUCGUAGGCGGUUCGCUAAGUCGGAUGUGAAAUCUCCACGCUUAACGUGGAGGGUGCAUUCGAUACUGUCGUGACUCGAGUCCGGUAGGGGAGUGUGGAAUUCCCGGUGUAGCGGUGAAAUGCGCAGAGAUCGGGAGGAACACCCGUAGCGAAGGCGGCACUCUGGGCCGGUACUGACGCUGAGGAGCGAAAGCGUGGGGAGCAAACAGG